CUGCCCCAUCCUGGAUGGCACCCUCUCUCUGGGUCCCUUUCCACCACAGUGUGGAAGCUGUCUUUUCGCUCUUCCUAAUAAAUUGCCCUAUCGCACACUCUUUGGGUCCAGGAGUUUUAUUCGAGCUGGUACACUCACUGUGCUGCUGAGACCCUUUUCUCCAUUCUUCGCAGUUAGGAAGGCCAAGUGCCUAAGUUCCGGCAAUAACUACUCUACUUCCCUGAUGGUCUAGCGGUUAGCAUUCCUGCUUUUCAAACCCAGGCAGCCCAGGUUCCACUCCUGGCCUGGGAAUCAGGGAAGCCAACUACAGCUACUCCGGUUACAAAAGGAAAUAGGAUGUUUGGCAUGCCACAGGUCAACAUGGGGUUCUUUAAGGUGCACUAGCUUGUUUGGAUGCUUUCAUUUGUAAGUCACAAAAUACUUUAGGUGCACUAAAGAGAAGGGAAAAUCAUAUAUGUAUAGAAGUGUUUUCCAGGUCAGUUUAGCAGCUCAAGAACUCACCGAGAUCCAGGCACCUUGUGGCUUUCUGCUUGUGAUCUACAGUGCAUCAUCACUAUGCCUUCCUGGUCAGAAGAUGGCUUCAGCAGCUUCCAAGCCUCCCUCCUCAGGCUACAAUGUGUCAAAAAUACGAAGAAAGGCAACACAAAAGAAGACCCAGAAGUAUCAUGGGCAAAUCAUGGACCAAGAACUGGAAUGAAUAUCUAGUGCACUACCCGAACUAAAGACUGCAGACGAGAAAGGGAAGACAGGGGUUUAACCAGCAAUUCAAAGUGAGGUGAUCAGCCUUCCGUUGACAGAGUUAACUGCGUGUGAAAGGUAAGGAGACCGUCCUACUGCCCCCUUUGCCUCAUUUACACAAAUAAGUUUAGUUCACUUCUUUACACUUAAAGGUCUACUUCACCAAGGGGCAUUUUGACUUUAAACUAGAUGAAGGGAUUUCUUAUUCCUGAUCUCUUUUUCUUGUGCUCUGCUUCUGCUGUUCUUUUGCUUCAGCUCAUUUUUUAGUCUGUUCUUUUAUUCCUUUGAAGGUUUCUUAGUAAAAGAGUGUUUGAAUUUUAGCUAUUUUCUCCUCCAACAUGAUUCAGUUAUAUUUUGUCCUCUGUCCAGGAGGCUUUAGACACUGUCUGUAACUACUGCUGCUCCCGACACAGCUCCACAGCCACCGCUAACAAAGUCAGGAGACACAGGAGCAGAACUGGCCAUCCAAAAGCAGCAGCAGAAGCAUGUUUCUGCACCCAGAGUCUUUAUUUUUUAUCCAAGAUUGUGCUAAUUGUUUGAAUGGUUUAAACUGAAAUCAGUAAUACUGUGUUUCUCGGUUUGUGAGUGCGUGUGUGUGUGUGUUUCAUGUAUACUAUAUCAGGAAAAUCAGCGACACUAAGUCAUGAUGGAAUGUGGACAAAGGGAUAGUGACAAUGGAAAUGGCACUAUUUCAAAUUGUGAUAUCCUUGCCUUUCUACAUCCUUUGCAAAGGAAGGGAGGGAUUUGCUCUCACAGGGCCGUUUGUGUCCAUCCAUGUGGGAGUGUGUGUAAGUGUGAGGGUGGCAGAGGCUAGGCGUGAGUACACACUGCAGCCGGACGCCAAAUAGCUCGAGCUCAGUGAAGGAAAACUUGGGAUACUUGUAGUUUAAACUAUAAAAAGUUAAGAGUCCAGAAUUCACCUUCAACUUUGAAUAUGCUCUUAAUACAAAGAAGAAAAAGAAAUGAGAUCAACAUAUAUAGCUCAGAUCUCAUUUCCAAAAAUCGUAUUUCAUAGUUUUUUGUUUUCCUGAUUGUGUAAAAUGUAUUUAGCUCUUUUUAAGUACUAAUGGGUUUUUAAAGAGUUGCUUAUAUUAUCUUUGAAACCCCACUUAGCUGAAGGGUAUAAUACAGAAGGAAUCUGUUAUGCUUUGGGGUUGCUGAAAACAGCAAAGCAAGGUUUUUAAAAUGGAGUCUUUAUUAAAACAAUGAAAACAAAACCUUUGAGGUCCUUUUAUAUGUCUUGGCCUUUCACUGACUAGCACCCAUGUUUUGUGUUUCUGAUGCAUGGUAACUGUCAUGAAUAACAGAUCUUGGGAGACUCUUUUGCAGCCAUGGAGAGAGUAACUAACAUUGGGAUAGUCCACUCACCAUAAA
rnacentral:lncRNA from 1 species